GACGAACGCUGGCGGCGUGCUUAACACAUCCAAGUCGAACGGAAAGACCCUGCUUUUGUGGGGUGCUCGAGUGGCGAACGGGUGAGUAACACGUGAGUAACCUGCCCUUGACUUUGGGAUAACUUCAGGAAACUGGGGCUAAUACCGGAUAGGAGCUCCUGCUGCAUGGUGGGGGUUGGAAAGUUUCGGCGGUUGGGGAUGGUCUCGCGGCUUAUCAGCUUGUUGGUGGGGUAGUGGCUUACCAAGGCUUUGACGGGUAGCCGGCCUGUGAGGGUGACCGGCAACAUUGGGACUGAGAUACGGCCCAGACUACAACGGGAGGCAGCAGGGGGGAAUAGUGCACAAUGGGCGGAAGCCUGAUGCAGCAACGCCGCGUGCGGGAUGACGGCCUUCGGGUUGUAAACCGAUUUCGCCUGUGACGAAGCGUGAGUGACGGUAAUGGGUAAAGAAGCACCGGCUAACUACGUG
rnacentral:rRNA from 1 species